GCUAAAGUCGGCAGCGCGGCCGACUCCAGCCCUUGGCCCAAAAGAGAAGCGGAACAGGGGAUCGGGAUCGCAAUCGCGAUCCCCUGCUCUGCCUUCCUCGGGCAAGGUGGGGCGGAGGCGCCGCGGCGGUUCUGUGGCAGCCCCGCGGCCACUAGGAACGGCCGCGAGAAUCACGGCGAUGAAUGAGUCGACCUCCUUCAGUCCUUCGGAAACCCAUUAUAAAAACCGCUCAUCCCUCUGCUAUUGAUCCACCGCCGAGUCUUCUUCUCCCUCUCCUCCAUCUUUCUCAUCCUUAUCCGGUGGCCGGCAUGCCACCCCGACCAAGCACCACCACCCGACUGUCCUGUAUUCUUUGAUUUCCCCCUGUUCCGAGGUCCACUUCGUCGGCGGAAGCUCUGCCACUACUAGCUGCUGGACCGAGCCACCCUCGGAUGAGAUCCUUCCCCGCCGUCGCUCACUGUGACAUGGUGGCUCGCCGCCAGUUUCGUGUGAAAAAGCAAGAAGAAUCAUGAGAAGACUAGGGAACUACAGUGAUUUGCAUGGCGUAUAAUGUGGCAACCAUUUUUAUUUGAAUUGAAAUGAUAUGGCAAUCAUUUGUACGGGCUGAAAUGGCCUGUUGUUGGUAUAGAGUGUGAAACUAAUAAAGCGCAAGAAGCCCAUCAGAAACAGGGCAAGGAAAUUUCUCUCUCAUUUAAUAUAGUAGGAACAAGGGAAUUCCAAUUUAGAGACCAGCACAGCAUGCACUGGUAGCAAUUUUGCUUUAAAAAAAGAAAACAAAGAAGAAAGAAAGAGAGGAAAAGUUGGUAGCACAUCGUGGGAAAAGACUGACAAGAUAAAGGGGGAAAGUAUUUCCAGGAUAAGGGGCCAGAAUAGAGGUGACAAGGGAAAACAGGGCUCGUAAAAAGUUAUCAGAGGAAUAAGUUAAUCUAAAGGUGGAAGUUGCAACAGUUCAACAAAAAAAAAAAAGUAAAGCAUGCCAAAGAUGGCGGCAAGAAAUGCGAAGCCGCUCAUAUUGCAUUAAUAUUUUGGAUCUGUGGUGCUUCCGAAGUCAUAGGAGUUUCCUAAGAUCGAGUUACCUGAAGAUAUAAUAUGUACUGUAUCUCCUGUGUACGUUAAGAAUGAUAUAAGUGUGGAAUACCAUUAAAUGAGUAAA